UACGGGGGGGGCAAGCGUUGUUCGGAAUUACUGGGCGUAAAGGGCUCGUAGGCGGCCAACUAAGUCAGACGUGAAAUCCCCAGGCUCAACCUGGGAACUGCGUCUGAUACUGGUUGGCUUGAAUCCGGGAGAGGGAUGCAGAAUUCCAGGUGUAGCGGUGAAAUGCGUAGAUAUCUGGAGGAAUACCGGUGGCGAAGGCGGCAUCCUGGACCAACACUGACACUGAAAAGCGAAAGCCAGGGGAGCAAACGGG
rnacentral:rRNA from 1 species